AUUGAGGAGGAUUUAGUAAGGAAAUUUUAGGAGGUUGGACAACAUGUAUAUGAUGAUGGUGAAGAUGAAGACAUGCUGUAUGGAGAUGGCCUGAGACUCUAGUCAUGCGUAAGAGUCUACUAACUCCCAAGGGAGAUUUAGGAGAUGUUUAGUUGAGGACAAAUGUUUUCCACACGACCAGUACAGUUGUCGAUAAAGUUUGCAAGUUGAUCAAUUACAGUGGCAAUUGUGAGAAUAUAGUAUUUGAAGAGGCUGUCCAGAAAUUGUACCUAAAGAUAGAUCGUCACCCAAGCUGUACAAGUUAUCAUAGUUGAAUAAAGGCAGUGAGGUAACAGUAGAAAAAUAGCGUCUGGUGUCUUUUUCAAUCGGCAUGAAAUUUUUUGAUAAUGCUUGGUGUGAUGUUGUGUCUAUGGAUGCCUGUCAUGUAUUGUUGGAAUAAACUUGGUAGUAUGAUCGCAUGUUAUUCAUGAUGGACGAAAGAAUAAAUAUUCCCUUAGCAUUAAAGGGAAGAAGAUUGUGUUGGCACCUCGUAGGGAAGAAACUAUCCAUGCCCCAAUAGUUAAUAAUACCAACUUCUUUUCCAUGUCUAGGUUUCUAUUUGAGAUUGGGCGUGAAGAUGUAGCCUAUGCUUUACUACCUUGUGAGAAUAGUGCAGUGAAUGGGGAUUUAGACUUACCAGCAAAAGUGCAGCAGCUACUAACGGAGUUCUUUGACCUGAUGCUAGAAGAUCUUCCUCCGAGGUUACCAUAUGAGGGAUAUUCAACAUCAUAUCAACCUUAUUUUGAGGUCGAGUUUGCCUAAUCGACUAGCAUAUUGCCUCAACCCCAAGAAAGCUGAAGAGUUACAUCGACAGGUGGUGGAAUUGUUAGAGAGGGGCUACAUUCGUGACAAUAUGAGUCCACGUAUUGUUCUUGCUCUACUAGUACUGAAGAAAGAUGGAUCUUGGAGAAUGUGUAGACAACAGAGCAAUCAACAAUAUUAUAGUGAAGUACAAGUUUCCAAUUCCCUUCCUAGAUGAUAUGUUGGAUUAGUUGUCCUGUUCUAAGGUCUUCUCAAAAAUUGACCUUAAAAGCUAAUAUCACCAAAUCAGAGUAAGGCUUGGAGAUGAAUGGAAGACGACGUUCAAGGCGCAGCAUACAUUGUACGAGUGGAUGGUCAUGCCGUUUGGACUAUCCAAUGCACCAAGCACUUUUAUGAUGUUUAUGCAUCAGAUGUUAUGGCCUUUCAUGGGGAAGUUUGUAGUAGUAUACAUAAAGGAAGGUACAUUCUCAAUGGCUUUCAGAGGUUACUGAUGAUUGAGGCAGGUUGAACAAAAAACACAAGACGAAUACAAGAACAAAGUGCUCUUGGCGAUCCAUAGAAAAUAGACAAUUCCUAAAGAUUGGGAACACGUGUGAGUGAAGCACGUUCUAACAGGGCUUGGAGAUUGCAGGAAUUAGGUCAACGAGUCUAGUGGAUUUUCUAGGCUGGAUAGCACUGUAAUUUCUUAUUGUAGUGGAGGUCAUUAGCUUAGUCUCGAAGUUUUUAAUCCUGCAAGGGGUUUUCUUCAUCAAGAAUUCUCCUGUAUUAUUUAUUUUCCUACAAAUUUAUUAAACUAUGAUAAUUCAACAUAGGAUAGUGUACAUGUGAAUUCAUGAAGAUUAAUUAAUAAGUGAAUUGUUGCUGUUAAUUAAUAAUUUUAAUUCCUUUGUUUUCACCUGUUCACCCGAUAUUAUGGUUAAACUAGUAAUUUUCUUUUAGUUUGCAAGUGAUGCUAGAAAAAUUGUAAACACAUAACAAAUGAAAAACUGAAGUUUGGGUCACUAUUAGUGAAACGAAAUGAGUUUAUUUGAGGAGUGUUUCCUAGACACACCUUUUAAAGACCUUUACAAUAAAUCUUUCUUUGUGAUCAAAUUGUAGGAUGUUCUAGAUGUCUUGCAAAGCAAUUCACUCUUUGAAGAAAGUAAGGUUGCAAUAUGUACCUUAUUUCGUUUAUUGUUUUAUCUGUUGGAGUUGGGGUCUAGAUAUUUUUUACAUGCAAUUACUCUAAACUAGAAGUAGAAAGAUAGGGAUAUUUGGUGUAGAGCACCCAGAUACUUUCCAUGCACAUCUUUUGUGCAAACAGAGCCGGUCCUGUGAUUUAUGAGCCCUGAGGCGAAGUGUGUAAAG
rnacentral:lncRNA from 1 species